UUAGAAUUUUGGAGUGACGGAAUCCUAUCACGGCGACUAGGUAGAUUGUGAGCAAUUUUACACGAUUUUCACUAAAACGGUUUUCAUAAAAACAGACUUAAAAACUGGGCGUUCAGUAGCCUGCAGCAGCUUCUAGCGAUCACCACCAGGGAAAAAAAAGAUGAAAUAAACAUAGUGAGAUGAUAUGCAAAGAAAUCAAGAGAUGAGUAUGCCAUUUUGUUGGCUGGAAUUAUUGCUUACAUUGUUUGUGAACAAAUCAAGGAGGUACAUGUCCGCAUCUGUUGCUGUGAGGGCUAGUGGAGCUUUCGCUGUGGUGUGUUCACCACUGAUCUUGCAAACUCAGCUAUGCCAUCAACACGCAAGUCCUAUUUUGGUCUUUACGAAUCGAAAAGCAUUAAAAACAUGACGAAGAAAAACGAUACG
rnacentral:lncRNA from 1 species